rnacentral:rRNA from 1 species
UACGUAGGGUGCAAGCGUUAAUCGGAAUUACUGGGCGUAAAGCGUGCGCAGGCGGUUUUGUAAGUCUGUCGUGAAAUCCCCGGGCUCAACCUGGGAAUUGCGAUGGAGACUGCAAGGCUAGAAUCUGGCAGAGGGGGGUAGAAUUCCACGUGUAGCAGUGAAAUGCGUAGAGAUGCGGAGGAACACCGAUGGCGAAGGCAGCCCCCUGGGCUGACACUGACGCUCAGGCACGAAAGCGUGGGGAGCAAACAGGG